rnacentral:rRNA from 1 species
GUUUACAUCAAUUUAAAAACCCCCAUUGACCCCUUUAACCAUAUUGAGAAUUUCUAUAUCAUAUAGAACCUUUUAUGCUAAAACUAGUAACAAGAGAAAACUCUCUCCCAAUGCAAACACAAGCCAGCAAGAACCCCACACUGGCAACUAACAGACAACAAAAGUAGCAACCAAACUAGAAAACCCUACUUCUCACAACCGUUAACCUAACACAAGAGCAUUUCAAGAAAGAUUAAAAGAAAAAGAAGGAACUCGGCAAAUGCUAGUCCCGCCUGUUUACCAAAAACAUCGCCUCUUGCCCAUAUAAGAGGUCAAGCCUGCCCAGUGACCCAGUUCAACGGCCGCGGUAUCCUAACCGUGCAAAGGUAGCGUAAUCACUUGUUUUCUAAAUAAAGACCAGUAUGAAAGGCAUCACGAGGACUUAACUGUCUCCUCUCUCUAAUCAGUGAACCUAAUCUCCCCGUGAAGAAGCGGGAAUAAUUAUAUAAGACGAGAAGACCCUGUGGAGCUUAAAACAUUAUAACAUCUGCCACUAACUUCCAACAUCCAGAUGCUCCUCUAAACAGCACUUUGAUUUUAUGUUUUCGGUUGGGGUGACCGCGGAGAAAAACUAAUCCUCCACGAUGAAGGGGACUUCCUCCCCAAACAGUAAGUUACAUCUUUAUGUAUUAAUAUAUUAACAUCCAUUGACCCAAUAAUUUGAUUAACGAACCAAGUUACCCCAGGGAUAACAGCGCAAUCCACUUUAAGAGCCCAUAUCGACAAGUGGGCUUACGACCUCGAUGUUGGAUCGGGGUACCCUAGUGGUGCAGUCGCUACCAAAGGUUCGUUUGUUCAACGAUUAAAACCCUAC